rnacentral:rRNA from 1 species
GUCGUGAGACAGUUCGGUCCCUAUCUACCGUGGGCGUUGGAAAUUUGAGAGGAUCUGCUCCUAGUACGAGAGGACCAGAGUGGACGAACCUCUGGUGUUUCGGUUGUCACGCCAGUGCCAUUGCCGAGUAGCUAUGUUCGCAUGGGAUAACCGCUGAAAGCAUCUAAGCGGGAAGCCCACCUUAAGAUAAGAUUUCCCUAAAGAGCCGUUGUAGACGACGACGUUGAUAGGUUGGGUGUGGAAGUGUAGUGAUACAUGUAGCUAACCAAUACUAAUUGCUCGUUUGGCUUGACCAUACAAAACCCAAG